rnacentral:rRNA from 1 species
UACGUAGGGCGCAAGCGUUAUCCGGAAUUAUUGGGCGUAAAGAGCUCGUAGGCGGUUUGUCGCGUCUGCUGUGAAAUCCGGAGGCUCAACCUCCGGCCUGCAGUGGGUACGGGCAGACUAGAGUGCGGUAGGGGAGAUUGGAAUUCCUGGUGUAGCGGUGGAAUGCGCAGAUAUCAGGAGGAACACCGAUGGCGAAGGCAGAUCUCUGGGCCGUAACUGACGCUGAGGAGCGAAAGGGUGGGGAGCAAACAG